AUCAUGGGCGAGCUGAUCCCGCCCUUGUCUGGGUAAGGUGGCAUGGUGUCUCCACCCUCAAGUCUCCAGUCCCAUCUCUCUACAUAAUACUAGAGCGGCUCCAUUUCUGUUACUCUCCCAUCUGACCACCAGAUAUUCGCAUGCUGUGGUGGCUCCUGCUGCAGCCUGGCCACAUGGCUGGGUGACACCCUCCAUGUGUGGUGUGGUGGCAGCUGUCUAUGACUCACCUGUGCCAUGCCCUGGAGGGCAGGUGUGGGAAGGCAUGGCGGUCUGCAGGUCUCUGUCUUCCUCUUCCUGAGCUGCUCUGCCUGGAUUUGAUUUGAUUUUUAUGUGUCUGAGGCAAAAAAAAAAAAAAAAAACAGCUUUGGCCACCAAGCCAGAGGCAUCAAGCUCGGAUGAACAAAGGACGGCCAUCUGCUCUGCCCGGCUGCUAGAAGAACAUCAUCACCAACGUGGUCAAAGCCUACUAAGGACCCGUCUGCUACUGAUCAAGGUCCUUUGUGCAUCGGCCAUUCCUGUGGCUUUAAAACCCUACAGCCCUGCUCUAUAUGUCAGUCACAGGCUCAGCGAAGCAGAGAAAAGUCACCAGAGCACAGCGUCAUAUCCUUCACAUGGAGAAACCGAGGCUGGUUGACCGCCUGAUAUCUCACCUGUGAUUCAUGCGAGUGGUACUGGCUGUCCCCAAGAGAGGUACUGGGGACAGAUGAACAUGGACAUCAGCCUUCUUCCCAUCUGGAGUCCUGAAAAGAUUUAUGUGUACUCAGAUCACACUGAGUGCCACUCCCAAAAUGACAGCACUCUGCAACUUUCUUUUUUUUUUUGGUUCUUUUUUUUUUUUUUCCGGAGCUGGGGACCGAACCCAGGGCCUUGCGCUUCCUAGGUAAGCGCUCUACCACUGAGCUAAAUCCCCAGCCCCAACUUUCAUUUUUUUAAAGCCUAUUUUUAAUGAUGGUUCUUGUAGCCCACCACCCACCAGAGGUAGUGGAUAAGAGAGGCAGGGGAGAAGUGGACCUGUUUAGAAAGGUUCUUU
rnacentral:lncRNA from 1 species